rnacentral:rRNA from 1 species
AGUGAACGCUGGCGGUAGGCCUAACACAUGCAAGUCGAACGGCAGCACAGUAAGAGCUUGCUCUUACGGGUGGCGAGUGGCGGACGGGUGAGGAAUACAUCGGAAUCUACUUUUUCGUGGGGGAUAACGUAGGGAAACUUACGCUAAUACCGCAUACGACCUACGGGUGAAAGCAGGGGAUCUUCGGACCUUGCGCGAUUGAAUGAGCCGAUGUCGGAUUAGCUAGUUGGCGGGGUAAAGGCCCACCAAGGCGACGAUCCGUAGCUGGUCUGAGAGGAUGAUCAGGCAAACUGGAACUGAGACAAGGUCCAGACUCCUACGGGAGGCAGCAGUGGGGAAUAUUGGACAAUGGGCGCAAGCCUGAUCCAGCCAUACCGCGUGGGUGAAGAAGGCCUUCGGGUUGUAAAGCCCUUUUGUUGGGAAAGAAAAGCAGCAGGUUAAUACCCCGCUGUUCUGACGGUACCCAAAGAAUAAGCACCGGCUAACUUCGUGC